rnacentral:rRNA from 1 species
GAAUCUUGGACAAUGGGCGCAAGCCUGAUCCAGCCAUGCCGCGUGGAUGAUGAAGGCCUUAGGGUUGUAAAAUCCUUUCGUCAGGGACGAUAAUGACGGUACCUGAAGAAGAAGCCCCGGCUAACUUCGUGCCAGCAGCCGCGGUAAUACGAAGGGGGCUAGCGUUGUUCGGAUUUACUGGGCGUAAAGCGCGUGUAGGCGGACUUGUAAGUUGGGGGUGAAAUCCCGAGGCUCAACCUCGGAACUGCCUCCAAAACUACAAGUCUGGAGCAAGAUAGAGGCAAGUGGAAUUGCGAGUGUAGAGGUGAAAUUCGUAGAUAUUCGCAGGAACACCAGUGGCGAAGGCGACUUGCUGGAUCUUUGCUGACGCUGAGACGCGAAAGCGUGGGGAGCAAACAGG